AUCAUUUGAAGUUUCUUUCUCAAGUGUAUGCAUACGGAAGAAACAGCUCCACUCGACAGAGGAAAAGACAGAUCAUUCAGCUCAAGUGCUGCAAAAAUUUGACAGAAAUUUUCUCCUAAAACAACAGAAACACACACUGAUAACGCGUUACUUGUGGAAAUGGUAUGUGCAUAAGCGUGCAGGGGCUUUUACACAGCUGUCAACCCACGGUAAUCACCGUCGCUAAGUAUGCCUGCAACGCGAAGACAAAUAUUUGACCUAUUUUCUUAGCAGAAUUUAGCUGUCAUCAUUCGUAGCACCACGCUCUCGUGAACCAGCCACUGCCAAAGGACUAAGGCAACACGGGCAUCGAAUUCUUCGCCGGCAGUGAGAGCGCAUCCUUCCACGGAGCGAGGUUUGUUCCAGCGCUAAAGCACUCGGCCCCUCGAACCCCCAUCCCUCUGCCGGCUCCGGGCUGCGCCCCGGUCCUGGCAAGCCCCCCGCGCCCGUCCGUGCCGGGGACUCACGUUUGUAGCUGGCGGCCCAGGGCUGGUAGCCGUAGUAGCCGGUGAUGCGGAGGAUGCGCUCCUCGAUGGAGGUGAGCCCCACGGACGCGCUGGUGAGGUCUUCCACGGAGCGGGACCACUUCAAGUCCUCUUUGAUGGCCUCGUCCACCACCAGCUUGCCAGAAGAUUCUCUGGGAUGGAAGUUUACAUUUAUCAAAAUACUACUCUUUUCAUGAGAAAGACACAGUGGAAAAUAGAAGUCCUUUAUAUUUGGAAUGGAAAAUAGACCUAUUUUUUGUUUUGAUAUCCAUUGUUCGAUGAGAAGUGCAUAAAAAAAUUAGGACAACUCAUCAUGUCUUAGUGGCGUACGAGCCCUGCCAGUGCCUCUCUUCCAAGUUCCAAUCAAAAACUGAAAUGAAAAGAGCAGAAAAAUAGUAACAUUUCCUUCCUCCAGCAAGAGUCCCAAAAGGAGGUGUUAAUGAGAGAAUGCAGAACAGACUUCUUCAAUAUCCCAUAUCUUAAGAAAUGCCAGAAGUGUCAAAGUCCAUUGGUAUGCUAUGUAGCCUUGAUAUCCCUUCAUGUUCUGCCAUUUCACAUUAUUUGUUUGUGCUAGAAAUAGCAGGCUACGAAACUCAGGUGAAGGAAAGGCUGGAUACUGGUACUGCAAGUUUUCUGUAUUUAUCUGUGCAUGACUCCUAGUUCCCCCUUGUCCCACAAGUUUGCUGAGAGGCGAGCCAAACAAUCAGGGAAUGAGGGAACUAGGGAAAAAUAUAGGAAAGAGAAUUAAGGACUCCAGAAAAAACAUGAAAGAAAACUUUUAUUGGAUUUGUGCUCAGGGAAGGAAGUAGCUUUAGCAAACUAGAGCACAAUAUUCGUGUUGUGUUAGCCCCAAGAAAAACCUAAUAAUUCUCACCCCUCAGAUAAACUUAUGGGCUGUUUUCUAGUUUUGAAGGUGUUUUUAAAGUUGGAUUUUUUUAAUGCAAAAAAAUGUGUCACUAGCCUUGGACUGCACAGAUUUCUCAGCAGGAGAGAUUUCUGAAGAGAAAGAAACACUUGGAAACUGAUGUGACAGGCAAUUUUUACUGUAUAAAAUUAAUGGUAGCUGUUUGAAGCUGCACAUGUGUCUGAAACAUUAAAAAACCCACAGCUGAAUUUUUGAUCUGGAAGCAUAGAAGAUCAAAAAAGCAUUACACUUUUGCCAAAUGCUUCCAAAGUGUGGGGCCAAGCUGCUUACUUCUAUGUAAGCAUUUUGAGUCCUAUUUGUAAGUUAACCAUUCUUAUUUUUCCAGACUUGGAAUUAAUUUUGGAAGCUACUGUAACUAUUCUGUUGCACCAACUCAGACCUCACUUCUCCCCACAAUAUACAAAAAAGUGUCCUUUCUUCACCUUUUGUCUCCUACAAUGGACAGAUUUCAUCCUGUCAUGAAUAAAGACUGUAUC